UACGGAGGGUGCGAGCGUUGUCCGGAAUCACUGGGCGUAAAGGGCGCGUAGGCGGCCUGAUAAGUAGGGGGUGAAAUCCUGCGGCUUAACCGCAGGGCUGCCUUCUAAACUGUCAGGCUAGAGCACAGUAGAGGCAGGUGGAAUUCCCGGUGUAGCGGUGGAAUGCGUAGAGAUCGGGAAGAACAUCAGUGGCGAAGGCGGCCUGCUGGGCUGUUGCUGACGCUGAGGCGCGACAGCGUGGGGAGCGGAACAGG
rnacentral:rRNA from 1 species